CGAUACCAGGUCAAAAAGGUCAUGAAUACGAUCCAAGCUCGCUUGCAGGAGAAUUCUAGAACUUGGAACCCGCCUAAAACAUGAGUAAGAAGCCAUGUUCGGAAGAUGAAUGAGCGGAUUACGAAUGUGUUCAGAAUGGCGAGAGAGCAAAGCACGUAGCAAUUCGGUAUCA
rnacentral:ncRNA from 2 species